UGGAGUUCUCUCCUUGGUAUGUUGGCUACAGUCCUGCUCGGGAUACUGAUAAGUGUUAUCACAGGUGAGCAUCGGCAACGGCACCCUGACGUCGCACACUUGAACAAACGGUGCGUUCAGCUCUGGCGUAAGCUGGGCGUUAUGGAGAGAGACGAAAGUUUCUCGAUAAAGGAGACAGAAGGCAGCAAAGAAGAGCAACAAACAACGAAAACGCUUUUAUCUUCUCAAUGUGAAGAAAAGCAGGAAUCGACAGUUUGAACUUUCAGAACCUGUUGUUUAGCAUGUUUAUUUUUUGCUGGACAAAAUGAUCCCAUGGUACAGAUUACAAAGAAGUUAUAUGCAGAGGCUAGGUGCAAUGUUUGCCACCCAAACGAAGGCGCUAGC